rnacentral:rRNA from 1 species
AUUGAACGCUGGCGGCAGGCCUAACAAAUGCAAGUCGAACGAGUGGCAGACGGGUGAGUAAUGUCUGGGAAACUGCCUGAUGGAGGGGGAUAACUACUGGAAACGGUAGCUAAUACCGCAUACCAUCAGAUGUGCCCAGAUGGGAUUAGCUUGUUGGUGGGGUAACGUCUCACCAAGGCGACGAUCCCUAGCUGGUCUGAUAGGAUGAACAGCCACACUGGAACUGAGACACGGGCCAGACUCCAACGGUAGGCAGCAGUGGGGAAUAGUGCACAAUGGGCGCGAGCCUGAUGCAGCCAUGCCGCUUGUAUGAAGAAGGCCUUCGGGUUGUAAAGUACUUUCAGCGGGGAGGCGUUACCCGCAGAAGAAGCACCGGCUAACUCCGUGCCAGCAGCCGCGGUAAUUC